AUGUUGCGAUAUGACCUUGAAGACCAGCUCUCCACCAUUUACACGGAUGAAGAGGCCUACUGGCGACUGUGCGGUACCCAACGGUGGGUACUUCGGGGUGAUGCCAACACCGCCUAUUUCCAGGCGGUGGCGAACGGCCGGCGGCGUCGAAACUCCAUCCACUGCCUUUGGGAUGGAGACACGCCUCUCGUUCGCCCCUCGGCCAUCCGUGCCCAUGUAGACGGCUUCUAUAAAGCCCUAUUUACCCCCACCCCUCGGGGUGGGGCUAGUCUCGCCCCCGACAUUUGG
rnacentral:rRNA from 1 species